rnacentral:tRNA from 1 species
GGGGGUGUAGCUCAGAUGGGAGAGCGAUUGCUUCGCAUGUAAUAGGCCAGGGGUUCGAAUCCCCUCAUCUCCACCA